ensembl:lncRNA
GUAGUCCCAGGUGUUGGAGCCUAGUGGACUGGUGUUACAGUAGUCCCAGGUGUUGGAGUCUAGUGGACAGGUGUUACAGUAGUCCCAGGUGUUGGAGCCUAGUGGACUGGUGUUACAGUAGUCCCAGGUGUUGGAGUCUAGUGGACUGGUGUUACAGUAGUCCCAGGUGUUGGAGCCUAGUGGACUGGUGUUACAGUAGUCCCAGGUGUUGGAGCAGCGCAGUCUCUAAUAGAGUGAGAGGAGACAAAGGUACCGUUUGUGACAGAGACAGACAGAAAAUCAACGUACUUAAGGCUGUGUGUGCACUGCAAUGAAUGUUGUCUAUGGUGAUUGCGAGCUAUGGGCAGGUCAGCAUCGUAGAUGAGCGAUGCACAAAAUACAAACAUUUCCGU